rnacentral:lncRNA from 1 species
UGCGUUCUCGUGAUGGACCUUUGCUCGGCGACCUGCAGUCAAUUGCCUUGCCAACCUUCGCACCUGGCACACGCAAGGGACAAUCCUGCCGGUCCUUGUACGUCAUCCACUCCUUGCUUCAGAGAAGAUGACGACCCCACUAGACCGUCCCUCAGCAGACGGUGUUUCUUCUCCCUGCUAUUACCCACCACGCUCUACUGGUGGACCUUUGCUGCGUGAUCUGCAAUAACUCGCCUUGCCAACCUCUGCGUCUGGUGCAUGCAAUGGGCGAUCUUGCCGGUCCUUUGCGUACGUCCCCUUGCCUUUGCU